rnacentral:snRNA from 1 species
GUGUUCACAUCAGCAACACAUAUACUAAAGUCAGAAUGAUACCAAGAGUAGCAUGGCAAGGGUGACAUGCAAAUUCAUCAAGUGUUCCAUUUUAUU